rnacentral:rRNA from 1 species
CUACGGUGAAUACGUUCCCGGACCUUGUACACACCGCCCGUCAAGCCAUGGAAGCUGGGUGUACCUAAAGCCGGUAACCGCAAGGAGCCGUUUAGGGUAAAACUAGUAACUGGGGCU